AUAAAAAAUAAAAUCCAGAAAAAUGCAUGUCAAAUAAGUUAUAAAUUGAUUUGCAUGUCAAUGAGUGAAAUAAGUAUUUGAUGCCCUAUCAAUCAGCAAGAUUUCUGGCUCCCAGGUGUCUUUUAUACAUGUAACAAGAUGAGAUUAGGAGCACUCUCCUAGAGGGAGUGCUCCUAAUCUCAGCUUGUUACCUGUAUAAAAGACAUCUGUCCACAGAAGAAAUCAAUCAAUCAGAUUCCAAACUCUCCACCAUGGCCAAGACCAACGAGCUGUCCAAGGAUGUCAGGGACAGGAUUGUAGACCUAAACAAGGCUGGAAUGGGCUGCAAGACCAUCGCUAAGCAGCUUGGUGAGAAGGUGAAAACAGUUGGUGUGAUUAUUCCCUCGGUCUGGUGCGCCAUGCAAAAUCUCACCUUGUGGAGUUUCAGUGUUCAGGUGAACAGUGAGGAAUCAGCCCAGAACUACACGGGGGGAUCUUGUUAAUGAUCUCAAGGCAGCUGGGACCAUAGUCACCAAGAAAACAAUUGGUAACACUUUACACCGUGAAGGACUGAAAUCCUUCAGUGCCUGCAAGGUCCACCUGCUCAAGAAAGCACAUGUACAGGCCUGUCUGAAGUUUGCCAAUGAACAUCUGAAUGAUUCAAAGGAGAACUGGGUGAAAGUGCUGUGGUCAGAUGAGACCAAACUCGAGCUCUUUGGCAUCAACUCAACUCGCCGUGUUUGGAGGAGGAGGAGGAAUUCUGCCUAUGACCCCAAGUACACCAUCCCCACCGUCAAACAUGGAGGUGGAAACAUUUUGCUUUGGGGGUAUUUUUCUGCUAAGAGAACAGGACAAUUGCACCGUAUCAAAGGGACGAUGGACGGGGCCAUGUACCAUCAAAUCUUGGAUGAGAACCUACUUCCCUCAGCCAGGGAAUUGAAAAUAAGUCGUGGAUGGGUAUUCCAGCAUGACAAAGACCCAAAACACACAGCCAAGGCAACAAUGGAGUGGCUCAAGAAGAAGCACAUUAAGGUCCUGGAGUGGCCUAGCCAGUCUCCAGAUUUUAACCCCAUAGAAAAUCUGUGAAGGGAGCUAAAGGUUCGAGUUGCCCAACGUCAGCCUCGAAACCUUAAUGACUUGGAGAGGAUCUGCAAAGAGGAGUGGGACAAAAUCCCUCCUGAGAUGUGUGCAAACCUGAUGGCCAACUACAAGAAACUUUGACCCCUUCGACUUAGUACUUGAUGGCAAAACCUGUGAUUGCCAACAAAGGUUUUGCCACCAAGUACUAAGUUGAAGGGGUCAAAUACUUAUUUCACUAAUUGACAUGCAAAUCAAUGUAUAACUUUUUUGACAUGCGUUUUUCUGGAUUUUCUUUUUUUCUGUUAUUCCGUCACUCACUGUUAAAAUACACCUACCAUUAAAAUUAUAGACCGAUCAUUUCUUUGUCAGUGGGCAAACGCUCAAAAUCAGUAGAGAUUCAAAUACUUUUAUCACAAACUGUAUCUCACUUUUUGGUUAAUACUUAUUGUAUCAUUCAGAUGUUCAACUAAAGAAGCAGGGUGAUACAUGUCAUGAUAGAGUCAAUUGGAACGUUACAUGAAAUAUUGAUGGCAGUUCAAAACAAUCAGAAUAUGUAUUUAUAAUCUUUAUAGGAUCACCAAAGAUAAGAAUCCUGACAGGUUAAAAAGACUUUGUACUAAUACUCAAAUUAAGCUAUACAUUCAAACUCCUACUACUCCUGGGCGGCAGCAAUAGCUACUAUAUCCAUCAGCCCAAAUGAAUAGAAUAAAAGCAAAAAGAGUUAUUGUUGCUCUAUUCCAAAUCCCUGCGCACAUUUAAAUAACAAGAGAUUUUUAGUAUCACUCCAAUGGCCAUUAAAGUGUAAGCUCACCUCUUGGGUGAGUCCUACAUUAACAAAUUACUUUAAUGCUUUAACCCCAUAAGGACACAUGACAUGUGUGACAUGUCAUGAUUCCCUUUUAUUCCAGAAGUUUGGUCCUUAAGGGGUUAAAGCCAAAAGGUAAAAUCUCUAAUGAGACAGAUAGGGAUAUUUUAUGUAUUUUUACACACUUGUUAACCCUUAAAGGACCACUCUAGGCACCCAGACCACUUCAGCUUAAUGAAGUGGUCUGGGUGCCAGGUCCCUCUAGGAUUAACCCUUUUUUUUUAUAAACAGGUUAAUCCAGCCUCUAAAGCCUCUAGUGGCUGUCUCAUUGACAGCCGCUAGAGGCGUUUGCGUGCUUCUCACUGUGAAAAUCACAGUGAGAAGACGCCAGCGUCCAUAGGAAAGCAUUAUGAAUGCUUUCCUAUGAGACUGGCUGAAUGCGCGCGCUGCUCCUGCCGCGCAUGCGCAUUCAGCCGAAGAGGAGGAUCGGAGGCGGAGAGCUCCCCGCCCGGCGCUGGGAAAAAGGUAAGUUUUAACCCUUUCCUCACCAUCCAGAAUUGCCGGGACUUCAAACUGAAUUUUAAAUGUAAGGUCAAAAUAGCCCUUCCUCUGUCUCUCGAGUAAUGUUUUAUGGCCUCAUUAUGUGCCCAGCAAUCUUGAGCACAGAUACUUUAUAGGGUUUUCCACUAAAGUGAGAAUUGUCAGGAAUCUAAAGAAAAUUCAAAAUUAAUUUUACAUUUUAGGCUAAAAUAUUUGAACGGAAAACAAUGGUGACUUGGUGAAUUUUUCCAGUUUGUGUAUAUAUCCGUAUUAUCCGGAAUCAUGUUUCAGCUCACUCCAUACCAAAAGCCAGUUCUGUCAUUAUCCUGAUUCAUGCCACCAUUUUUCAGCCCAUUGUUAACUUUAAUAUUAACAGGUUACUCCAAGUACCAUAACCACUUCAGUGAUUUGAGGUGGUCAAGGUGCCUGCAGUCUGUAUGUGCAGCAUCAUACAGAGAUGAACUCUUAGCUGUCAGAGGUGUAACCAACUCUGGCAGUGUCAUUACACAGUUCCAGGCUGGUUAAUAUCAAUUCUGUGUAAAAUUGAUUUCUGACGCAAACACACACAGAAUGUUGUCGACAAAGUUCCAGUGGUGGCUGUGCCGCUCCUGUCCUACCCUCGACCAUCCUCUCUGACUUUUCUCCCCCUUCUGUGACAGGGAAUGAUGUCAGCAGACAAAGAUUGUGCUGAGGGAGAACUUGGCCUCAGCAUUAAAAUAAGUUAAAGCAUUUUGUUUUGCCGUUUGGUGGUGGCAGAGGACCACCACAGAAAUAAUUACUACAACUAAAACCAGUGUUUAAUAAAAAAAACAAAAAAAAACAAACAAACACUGGUUUCCAGUUGGAGUAACCCAUUAAAGGGUUUGCAAUAAAACCAAAAAAAAAAAAAGAAAGUUUUUUUACUCACCUGGAAUACAGCUUUGGGCAAAGAGCACGGUCCAAUCACAGACUUCUCAUUGGACCGUUUUGCUGGCUCAUGUGCACAAUCUAAGCUGGCGAGGGGAGGGAGAUUGGAUAGAAAGCGUGGUGGAAAAUGUAAUAAUAAAAAAAAAAUAGAAAAGGAAUUAUGGAGUUUGUUGGGAGGCGGGAGCCCUCAAGAGAAAAGCUUAACAUGUCCAUUGCCAGCAUGCUGUGUGCCCUGACGAUGAAUGUUUUUUUUUUAUGCACAGAACUGACAUUUGGCAGUCCUGGCUGCUGAAGUCACGUGUGCCAAGGGUGUAACUGGCCCGACACAAAAGUGCAGGCUUCCGUGUAUGUGCAAUGUUUCAACCAGAAACGUUGCACAUACAGACUCCCACCAGCAUGACCACUUCAAACUACUGACGUGGUCAUGGUGGUUAAAGUAAUCCUUUAAGUUAUUUUAUUAUUUAAUUAUCUGAUUGGUUAGGGCAUGUCCCUUAUUUCUGACUUUGAAAAAAAAAAUGCAAUAAUAUAUUUACUGCAAUGUAGCACUUAACAGAAUGAUCUGUGACUUAAAUAGUGGUGAAAUAACAGCUGAACAGCAAACUUUAGAACUGUUUGAAAAAUAGCUGAAAUUAGUAAUACUUCCAGUUUAGAUAAUGGGCCUACAUUUUGCAAUCUGCUUAUCAAUGCACUAUUUAAUGAAUAAUCUCUGAAUGUAAGCUAUUUAAAGCUCAGUAAUUUAAUAUGCCUAUUAUAUAUAAAAUGUUUAUGCAUAAGCACUCUAAGCACAUUUUAACAAGUUUUAGCUAAUAUAUAAAGUUGUUGAAACAAUUAGUGCAGGUACUGGUAUGUGCAGGUACUGAGAUUUUUUUUAUUGAUAUUUGUAUUUUACUGGAAUAAAUAUAUUGAAAACACAAUAAAUAAACAAUGAAUUAUAUUUUUUUGUUUCUGGCAAGAUGGAUAUUGUUAGGUGCACUCUAAAAG